AUUGAACGCUGGCGGCAUGCUUUACACAUGCAAGUCGAACGGCAGCACGGGUGCUUGCACCUGGUGGCGAGUGGCGCACGGGUGAGUAAUGUAUCGGAACGUACCCGGCAAUGGGGGAUAACGUAGCGAAAGUUACGCUAAUACCGCAUAUGCCCUGAGGGGGAAAGUGGGGGAUCGCAAGACUCCACGUUGUCGGAGCGGCCGAUAUCAGAUUAGCUAGUUGGUGGGGUAAAGGCCUACCAUGGCGACGAUCUGUAGCUGGUCUGAGAGGACGACCAGCCACACUGGGACUGAGACACGGCCCAGACUCCUACGGGAGGAAGCAGUGGGGAAUUUUGGACAAUGGGGGCAACCCUGAUCCAGCCAUGCCGCGUGAGUGAAGAAGGCCUUCGGGUUGUAAAGCUCUUUCGGACAGAAAGAAAUCGCCACUUCUAAUAAAGGUGGUGGAUGACGGUAUUGUAAGAAGAAGCACCGGCUAACUACGUGCCAGCCGCCGCGGUAA
rnacentral:rRNA from 1 species